UUCGAGAAGUGUCCAAACUCUUCUUUGAGAAACAAGUGUCCAAUUUCGAAACUCCUCACAGAAUCUGUUAUUGCGCUGCGUACUCCAUUUCGCUUCUCAAGUUACACUAUUCGGCCUUCUCUCCUUUGCUUGCUUCUAAUCUCAGGAGAAAAUGAGUCGCCGGUCGAGUCGAACAAUAUAUGUCGGCAAUCUUCCUGGUGACAUUCGUUUGAGAGAAGUAGAGGAUCUUUUCUACAAAUUUGGUCCUAUCGUUGACAUUGAAUUGAAGAUUCCUCCAAGACCACCGGGUUAUGCUUUUGUGGAGUUUGAGGAUGCUCGUGAUGCUGAAGAUGCAAUUCGUUAUCGAGAUGGAUACAAGUUUGAUGGCUUUCGAUUAAGAGUUGAACUUGCACAUGGUGGGCGGGGAUAUUCAUCAUCUGUAGACCGAUAUAGUAGUUAUAGUAGUGGUAGCCGUGGAGUUUCCAAGCAUUCUGAGUAUCGUGUUUUGGUCACUGGAUUACCUCCUUCGGCUUCAUGGCAAGACCUGAAAGAUCACAUGCGCAGAGCUGGUGAUGUAUGUUUCUCUCAAGUUUUCCGUGACCGAGGUGGCAUGACUGGGAUAGUGGAGUAUACAAAUUAUGAAGAUAUGAAAUAUGCUAUUAGAAAACUUGACGACUCAGAAUUCCGAAAUGCGUUCUCUUGGGCAUACAUACGAGUGAGGGAAUAUGAUCGACGGAGAUAUACUAGGAGUCCCAGUUGUGAUACAAGGAGGAGUUAUUCUAGAAGCCCAAGCCGCAGUCCAUAUAUGUCACGAAGUCGUAACCGCAGUCAAAGUUAUAGCUAUAGUAGCAAGAGCAGCAGAAGCUUGUCUCCAAAAGUGAAACGCACUCGACGGUCUUUAUCCCGUUCAAGACAAUGACUUUUUGCAGCGACCUUGGGGCACGUGGUGCUCAAAUUCUUACUACUUUGUGGUCUAAGGUAAUACCAUUUUAUCGAUGAGCACCUGUGGGUCAUCUUAAUGCUGUGAAAAUUGAUACUUGUUAUGUUAAUAUAUGAAUAUAAGGCAUGGUGUACCAUUUGUAGACUGGAAUGCAGUAGUGAUGGAUGAGUUGCAAUCUAAAAGCUGGAUCACCUUGAUUAAGAACUAAUGGCACCAGCUAUUGCAAUCCAAUGCUGUUAAAAUUCAAAAUCUAUUCAACAUAAUCUGUGUUCUAAUUCUUGGGUUAUACUUAUACUCCUCUCCUCUUUAGGGUUUCUCUUAUUGUUGUAGUGGCUUGUUAAUUACAUCUUCCCCUUAGUUUCUCCAAAGUAUCAAUAACUGCGAGCUUUAGAUUCUGUAGCAGUUGUUCAGACUUGUGAUAUUUGCUUUUCACUAUUCUGAAUGCUAAAUUGAGUUGUUGGUUGAAAUAUUUUGCAGGUCAUUGUCAAGAUCAGAAUCUGCACGUUCAUCUGUAAGUGUAUUAUAUCUUGUCUUACAUUUCAGUAAUAUCUAAAUUAGGGAGGAAUGAAGUGAAAAUGCACAACCGUAUUAAAUUUCUUGACAUUUGUAAGAAAUUUGUUCACGUUUAUAAUGACCUUAUGCCCUUCUAUAUCACCUAUGCCAAUAACUGCCAUAGUAAAAUUUCUUGACAUUUAUAAUGACCUUAUAUACCCUUUUAUAUCACCUAUGCCAAGUAAUAACCAUAGUAAAAUUUCCUUUCUAGAGGAUAGUUUACACGACUAUCAAAUUGUACUCUGAUGUAAUUUAAUUUAAUGGCUUUGCUUGUUUGUGUACUAUGUAGCCUGAACCUCGCAGGAGCCGAAGUCCUAGGAGCUUAUCACAAUCUCGUUCACCUUCGGUGAGAUCUGAACACAGCCAAUCUGUCAACUCUGGAGACCACGAUUGAGCAUGUAACAUGAUGCUUUUCUUAUGUAGACCCAUAUGUAGCUUUAUAUUUAUAAAUAAACUUUGGCAGGGGCUAUUGUAGUGUAUUUAAAGUGACGAUUAAAACUAUAACUGAGUUGAUCUGUAUUGCCAACUCUGUAGAUGUUAGAAACAGAUUGCCAUUGCAUGGAAGCUACUCUUUAGUAGUCUUACCAUUCUUUGAGCUUAUAUGAUAAUUGGAUGGGUUUGUUAUUGGGACUGAUAUUCUAUUCAAUUCACACAUAUUUUAUCUCAUUCUA